UUUCAGUUACCAACGCCGGAGUCCGGUCACCGCUGUCGCUUGAGGUGGCUGCCGGGUUGCUGCCGAACCGGUUCAAGAGACCGCCGCUGUUCGGUUCAGCCGUUCCUUCUUCGUUUCGUUCUGGUUGAUGAG